UGGGGAAUAUUGCACAAUGGGCGAAAGCCUGAUGCAGCAACGCCGCGUGCGGGAAGAAGGCCCUAGGGUUGUAAACCGCUUUCAGCAGGGAAGAAAAUGACGGUACCUGCAGAAGAAGGUGCGGCCAACUACGUGCCAGCAGCCGCGGUGACACGUAGGCACCAAGCGUUGUCCGGAUUUAUUGGGCGUAAAGAGCUCGUAGGCGGUUCAGUAAGUCGGGUGUGAAAACUCUGGGCUCAACCCAGAGACGCCACCCGAUACUGCUGUGACUUGAGUACGGUAGGGGAGUGGGGAAUUCCUGGUGUAGCGGUGAAAUGCGCAGAUAUCAGGAGGAACACCAGUGGCGAAGGCGCCACUCUGGGCCGUAACUGACGCUGAGGAGCGAAAGCGUGGGGAGCAAACAGGAUUAGAUACCCCCGUAGUCCCUGAGCGGGCUGGCAAGGCGCAU
rnacentral:rRNA from 1 species